rnacentral:rRNA from 1 species
GGGGGGGGGGGGGGGGGGGGCGGGGGGGGGGGGGGGGGGGGGCGGCGGGGGGGGGGCGGGGUCUUACGGGUGGCGAGUGGCGGACGGGGGAGGGAGACAUGGGAGUCUACGGUUGCGUGGGGGAGAACGUAGGGAAACGUACGCUAAUACCGCAUACGACCUACGGGUGAAAGCCGGGGAUCUGCGGCACUUGCGCGAUGGCAUGAACCGAUGUCGGAUUAGCUAGUUGGCGGGGUAAAGGCCCACCAAGGCGACGAUCCGUAGCUGGUCUGCGCGGAUGAUCAGCCACACUGGAACUGAGACACGGUCCAGACUCCUACGGGAGGCAGCAGUGGGGAAUAUUGGACAAUGGGCGCAAGCCUGAUCCAGCCAUACCGCGUGGGUGAAGAAGGCCUUCGGGUUGUAAAGCCCUUUUGUUGGGAAAGAAAAGCAGCAGGUUAAUACCCCGCUGUUCUGACGGUACCCAAAGAAUAAGCACCGGCUAACUUCGUG